AUUAUUUUAAUGUAUUUUCAUCGAUUUAUAAUGAACAAACAAAGAAUAGUGAAAAAUGAAAGAUACAGAUAAAAUUGAGAAUCAGUUCCACAGAGACAAGAUCUUUUUAAAAUAUGAAAUACAGAAAGAAUAAGAAUUGAAGACUAGCAAUAUCUUUUAAGUAUUUCUAAAAAGAAAUUUUGACAUUCAAUAGAUGGCGACAACAGUCAAUUCUCAGUUCUUUAGCUUUUAAUGCUAAAAAAUCAUCUUUAAAAGGUAAAUAUAUAAAAGAAAAAUCAUCUUCAAAAUGGAAGAAGUAUAUUAAGGCAAACAGAAGUGAAUAUUUUACAACUAAUUUUUUAAAACUUUCGAAAACUUUUAUAAA